UACGGAGGGUGCAAGCGUUGCUCGGAAUCACUGGGCGUAAAGCGACCGCAGGCGGUCUGACAAGUCGGAUGUGAAAGCCCUGGGCUCAACCCAGGAACUGCAUUCGAAACUGGCAGACUUGAGUACGGGAGAGGGGGGUGGAAUUCCUGGUGUAGGGGUGAAAUUCGUUGAUAUCAGGAGGAACACCGGCGGCGAAGGCGGCCCCCUGGCCCGCAACUGACGCUCAUGGUCGAAAGCGUGGGGAGCAAACAGG
rnacentral:rRNA from 1 species